rnacentral:rRNA from 1 species
AUUGAACGCUGGCGGCAGGCUUAACACAUGCAAGUCGAGCGGGGUGAUGGUGCUUGCACUAUCACUUAGCGGCGGACGGGUGAGUAAUGCUUAGGAAUCUGCCUAUUAGUGGGGGACAACAUUUCGAAAGGAAUGCUAAUACCGCAUACGUCCUACGGGAGAAAGCAGGGGAUCUUCGGACCUUGCGCUAAUAGAUGAGCCUAAGUCGGAUUAGCUAGUUGGUGGGGUAAAGGCCUACCAAGGCGACGAUCUGUAGCGGGUGUGAGAGGAUGAUCCGCCACACUGGGACUGAGACACGGCCCAGACUCCUACGGGAGGCAGCAGUGGGGAAUAUUGGACAAUGGGCGGGAGCCUGAUCCAGCCAUGCCGCGUGUGUGAAGAAGGCCUUAUGGUUGUAAAGCACUUUAAGCGAGGAGGAGGCUACUUUAGUUAAUACCUAGAGAUAGUGGACGUUACUCGCAGAAUAAGCACCGGCUAACUCUGUGCCAGCCGCCGCCGUAAGAC